CCCGGGCCUUGUACACACCGCCCGUCACACCACGAAAGUUGGCAAUACCCGAAGCCGGUGUUUCCUAACCCGCAAGGGAGGGAGCCGUCGAAGGUAGGGUCAGUGAUUGAGGUG
rnacentral:rRNA from 1 species